ACCAUAACAGGCAGAAGGAAUUGUGUAUUAGCUACAUAUGCAAGCAUUACCAUGAUCAUCUUAUAUUUCAAGCUAAGGCCUAAAAAACAAACUCCAGCGCUGACGGAAAAAUAGUGGCUGCUGGCAUGUGUUAGUGUUGGACCUCACAUCUAAUUUUGCAAUGGACUAUUAUGCGGAGUUCAAUAAAAUAAACCAAACAUAA